UUACUAGGUACACCCCAGGAGGUGAUCAGGCUCCCCUUCCAUCCUUAUGGGACGGGUCCUGCCUUGGGCCCAAACCUUACUGCAGUCCUGUAGCGUGAAGUCCUGGAAUCGUCCUGUAGCCCCUUAGGUUCCAAUGCACUGUCAGGGAGGGGCGCCGGGUCAUGGGAGAGCCAAUCUCCCCUCCGGGUUGAAGGUCUCCCAAUGGUGCCUUGGGUCACGGGUCUCCCCCAGCCCGGGGCUCCAGUCCCACAGCCAAAGGAGACAGUAAACCUGUAGUCUCCCCUCCUGGCUGGCUCGCCAAAAUGUUGUGGGAAUCAGGAGGCUGGAGAGACCACUUGGUGGAACAGGAGGAUUUUAUUUAGGUGACCACCAGCCCAGCCGAUGAACAUCCAAAGGCUGAGCCCUGAACAAUGACAGGGCUUGACUUUUAUACAUGCAACCAACAGGGGCGGGUCAGGUUUUUGGCAUGAAACCUGUGAGACAGGAAAGCAGUCUUACAGAAGCAGAACAAAGACAGUUAAUCAUACCGUGACAGGUUUUACAACAGGAUUUGCAACAUGACCCUAUCUUACUUAAGCAUGUCUUGUGACCUUGCCGUGCUACAGAAAGAAAAACAGGAACUUAUGAAAUCUUUGCAAACUUGCAGAAAUAGUUACAAAAAUAGUUGUGAGAGCAGAACAAAGAAUAAUGGUAUGGGGAAAGAAUUUCAAGGCGGAAACUGAUAAGGAGAACUUGUUUUUCUCAUCUCUGCUCCUGGAGCCCAUUCUUUUGGGGUCCCUGCCUGGCCUUGCAGAUAAUGUUAUCAUAGCUCCAGCAGGACUUUGGAGUGAGUCAGACUGAUCAGGGAAGGACUUGUUUUCCCUUUACUUGUUUUUCCUUUUAUAUUUCCUGCCUCAUAUACACUGCCUGUAGGAGUAUAACUUAAUUCAACCAUUGUGAAAAGAAUUGUGGCAAUGACAGAACUAAAAACAGAAUUACCAUUUGACCCAGGCACCUCAUAAUUGGGUUUAUACCCCAAAAAAUAUAAAUUAUUCUAUCAUAAAGAUACAAAGACAUGCAUGUUCACUGCAGCACUACUCACAAUAGAAAAGACAUGGAAUCACCAUAAACACCUAUCAAUGGCAGACUGGAUAAAGAAAGUAUGGUAUGGCACGGUGGCUCAUGCCUGUAAUCAAAGCACUUUCUUUUUUGUUUUUUUUUGAGAUGGAGUCUCACGCUGUUGCCCAGGGUGGAGUGCAGUGGCUCAAUCUCUGCUCACUGCAAGCUCCGCCUCCUGGGUUCACGCCAUUCUCCUGCCUCAGCCUCCCAAGUAGCUGGGACUACAGGUGCCCACCACCACGCCUGGCUAAUUUUUUGUAUUUUUAGUAGAGACGGGGGUGUCAUCGUGUUAGCCAGGAUGGUCUUGAUCUCCUGACCUUGUGAUCUGCCCACCUCGGCCUCCCAAAGUGCUGUGAUUACAGGCAUGAGCCACUGCAUCUGGCCAAUCACAGCACUUUCAUAGGCCAAGGCAUGUAGAUUGCCUGAGGUCAUAAGUUUGAAACCAGCCUGGGCAACGUGGCAAAACCACAUCUCUACAAAAAGUACAAAAAGAAAAAUUAGCCAGGCAUAAUGGUAUGCACCUGCAGUCCCAGCAACUUGGGGGGCUGAGGUAGAAGGAUUGUUUGCACCAGGGAGAUUGAGGCUGCAGUGAGCCAAGAUCACAUCACUGUACUUCAGCCUGGGUGACACAGUGAGACCCUGUCUCCAAAACUGAAUAAAAUAAAAUAAAAUAUUUAAUAAAAACAAAAUAUGGUACAUAAAUACAAUGAAUACCGUGUGGCCAUAAAAAAGAAGAUUGUGUCCUUUGCAGAAACAUGGACAGAGUUGGAGACCAUUAUCCUUAGAAAACUAAUGCAGAAACAGAAGACCAAAUGCAUGUUCUCAUUUCUAAGUAAGAGCUAAAUAAUAAGAACACAUGGACACAAAGAGAGAAACAACGGUCACUGAGGCCUAGUUUAGGGUGGAGGGUGAAAGGACAAAAAGGAUCAAAGAAUACCUGUUUGGUGCUAUGCUUAGUACCUCAGUGACAAAAUAAUCUGCAUGCCAAACCCCCCGUGACACAAUUUCACCCACAUAACAAAUCUGCAUGUGUACCCCUGAACCAAAAAUAAAAAAUUCGUGGGUGGGGGAUAGCAUAAUGUACGUGUAAGGAAUGGUUUGUGCUACAGAUAGUGGUCCAGGUGGGAUUGUCCUCUGAUUUAUUUCUGUGUCCAUGCAGGCAGAUGAGAUUAUGAACAGGUGGUCCAGAAUCCUAGAUUGGUGGAGAGAACAGGUUGCUGCUGCAGAUUCAGUGUCUGGGAAUAGGAAUAUGUCAGGAGACUCGUAGACACUUUUGUGGGUUUUUGGCAAGAAACACCAGGAUGAAAAAUGCUGUGGUGAAAUUCCUAAGGUGGUGCCUAGUCCUGGGAGGUGUGAACACAUCAAUGUCUAGUGGGUAUGUUUGUGAGUGGGUGGAAAUCCUGAGGUGGCAGUGGUGGGAAAAGGAGGUCUGCUAUAAGAGCUCCUUUCCUCUAAGUUUUCAGUCCUCUCUCACAGUGGGAGUGGGAGGAGACCUCAAAUCCCAGGACAAUGGGCAGUGUGACAGCCUGUGUACAGGAGAGCAGAGUCUCUCAUUCCCAGACACCCAGAGUUCCAUUCCAGGCCAGGCCUCUGAGAUGUCUUUCUUCUGGCACCAAAACUGUAAUGUUUGCUGAACACCAAGCAAUUCUUCAAAACCAACACAUUGUCUAAAAUUUGAAUUAUGACCCCACUUAAGAGUCAGCACAGACCCUGAUCCAGGGCUCAAUCUCACAACACUGUCUUCACUGCAGACACCAGUCACAAACCCUAUAGGUCCAUCUAUGCUUUUGAGCUACUGUUUAAAAAUUCAGGACUCCCAUAAAUCUCUCAAGUUCAAUAAUUUUAUAGAGCUGCUCACAGAACUCAGCAAAAUACUGUAGUUAUGUUUACCCAUUUAUUAUACAAAAUACAACCCAGAAAACUCAAGUGGAAAAAAUGUAUAGGACAAAGAAAAGACGUGGGGAAAGAUGAAGCACAUAGAUAAUCCUGGUAAAUAGCGUUAAUAAAAUUCUCUAUCCUUUGUGUUCUCCAGGAACAGUUUAUGGAAAGAAACAUCCUUUCAUUAUGACUUAGAUGGUGCUCUCUUGUCUGACUUAUCACAUAACCAGACACUGACUCUGCACAUUUUCUUCUUUUUUGUAUUAAAAAAUUAGCUAAAUUUGUCUUCAGUGGUCAAAAUAAAAUGCUUUUUUGUUUGUUUUUUGAGAUGGAGUCUCACUCUGUCGCCCAGACUAGAGUGUAGUGGCACGAUCUUGGGUCACUGAAACCUCUGCCUCCAAGGUUCAAGCAAUUCUCCUGCCUCAACCUCCAGAGUAGGUGGGAUAACAGGCACAUGCAACCAUGCCUGGCUAAUUUUUAUAUUUUUUUUUAGUAGAGAUGGGGUUUCGUCAUGUUGGCCAGGCUGGUCUCGAACUCCCGACCUCAAGUGAUCCCCCGGCCUUGGCCUCCCAAAGUGCUGGGAUUACAGGCAUGAGCCAUUGUGCCCAGCCUAAAAUACUUCUUAAUCAAACUUUACUUAAGUUUAUCUCCUUUCCACAGGCUCCUGAACUUUGAGCUACUCUCAGUCUGAGCCAACAUACAGCCCCAUUUUAUGUUCCUCCUAAAAACUUGCUGACUUCAUGGUAAAACAAUUUCUGAUCUAAAAUCUGAUUUUUUUUCAUCCUCCAUUUGCUAUUCCCCUCUGACCUUCUAAUCUUUUUUGCUCCUCCCUAAGAAAGAAAGCCUUUAUCUGUUUAAACUUUGCAAUCCUUAAAGCUCUUAUAGUUGGUACUUCGUUCUGUUGCAACACUCUUUUAGAAUUCAAUUUUUUUACAUAAACCUAAUUUAGCUCAUUUUACAAAGUCUAGAAACUGCCUCAAAACAGUAACAAUUUCAUCUGCAGUAAGACCCUCCCAGUCCCAUUCCAUCUUAAUGUUAACUGCAUCUGUCUGUGGGUCCCCAGCUUUCCAGGGCUCUGUCACUUUUUUCAGUAUAAAGGCUUCUUCCAUGGCUAGAGUGAGCAGGCUGGGACAUCUGCAGGGAAGGUUUCCUAGAAAGAAUGAACUGAGCCUUUAAUACCCUCCCUCCCUGGCUGGGUGCAGUGGCUCACACCUGUAACCCCAACAUUUUGGGAGACCAAGGAUCACCUGAGGUCAGGAGUUUGAGACCAGACUGGAUAACAUGGUGAAACCUCGUCUCUACUAAAAAUACAAAAAUUAGCUGGGUGUGGUGGCACCUGCCUGUAAUCCCAGCUACCUGGGAGGCUGAGGCAAGAGAUUUGCUGGAACCAGGAGGCAGAGGCUGCAGUGAUCCAAGAUCUCACCACUGCACUCCAGCCUGGGCAACAGAGCAAGGCUCUGUCAAGAAAAAAGAAAAAGAAAGAAAGAACCUCCCCGCUUUUUGCAGGCUCAAUAUUAGCAUUAGCUUGGGGUCACUGGGCACAAGCUUUAAUUUCCA
rnacentral:lncRNA from 1 species